rnacentral:lncRNA from 1 species
AACAUACACCAGGAAAAUAAAUAUUUGGCAUGUUCUGCUUCUUCUUGUCAUUAUUUCCCCCCAAUUGAUUAGAAUUGCCCAUGUGAUUUUGAGAAGACAACAGCAAUACCUGGUCAUCUAUAUUAGCAAUUAUGUGUCUAGUUUCAUGAACAAGGCUUCUGGUGAAGUUCUCUACACCAAAUUAUUUACUUUGAAAUACGCUUCACUAAUUAGUGCUUCUGUCAGUAUAUGCCUUCAGAGUCAUUCUGAAGACAUGCAAACCACCCACUUAUCCAUAAGCUGUGCCCGGCAACCUAAGGAUUUAGAUAUAAACAUAACGGUGAAUUGUGGGAUAAGGCCAGAGAGGGCAAGAUGGUUCACAGUCACU